GGUCAUACACAUUACAGUGACAUUUGAUAGAGAGAUCUUAAAGUAUUAAGAAAUAAGGGAUCAGCCCAAAGCUGAUUCCCAGGGGAGGGGUUCCACCAUCAGGUCUCGCUGGUCAGGCUUGUGUUAGAUGUAUUCUUGAAUGGCUGAAUUUCUUGCCUUUUCCAGGUAAGGAGUGGGGUUCUUCAUUUUUUUUUGUCUGAAGCCUCUGCUUAGUGCUGCCUGGGCAGACUUGGACUGAUUCAGCUGUCUGCUUUGCUGCUUGGACCCUCACAGCCAACUUUGUCCCAAAGGAGUGGGGGCAGAAAUAACUCAGUAGUUCAUGGAGUGAGGAGUUCUGGGGGUCAGCAGCUGUCAUCUCCUUGAGCACUACUGCUAUUUUCACCAGUAAUCCUGAAAGCAAUCUCAGAAAAGUGACUGUAAAACCACGACUAGGAUGUGGCUGGAUCUUCCUCUCCCCAGGUACAAACAUCAUAGUGGACUGCAGCUCAGUUCCUCAUUGCUGGGUUGUCCUUCUGUUUAGGUAUCCCCAGGACAGUAAUAAUGUCAAAGAGCAAGGUAGCUUCACUCCCUGUGACAAUCUAUGGGACUAAGGCAGAGAUAGAAUAGCUUAUUUUGUCUCGGCUUGUCUCAGGCACGUGGUUAAAACCCUCCAGGUGCCUUAGCUUUUCUGUUCUGUGAAAGCAUCUUUGUUAGCUCUGCUAGAGAGAGACUGUUAAAAGAUGGCCUUAACUUCUUGCCUCCGUUACCAGAUCUCAAGGAGCACAUUCCAGGGGCUUCAAUCUGAUUUGGGUGCAUUCUUUUUUCUCAGGAAAUGCUAGUGGCUUUUGUAGGGCUGCUGGAAGAGCAGAGGUCCUGUUGGAGUAAGGGAAAGCUGCCCAACUUCAAGCCUUUACUGGAAAGGUACAGCAUUGUUCUUCUGUUGCCAGCAUACAAGGGUUAGAUCUCAGUAGUCCCUAUUUAUUAUUGCAGAUGUUCUUUUCUUCUUGGCGGCAGUGCUCUCCUUCCUUUGUCUUAUAAAAAUGAGUCCUAACAGGUCACAUCUAUAAGCUGUGACUCAGCAGCCAAACUAAAUAACAAGCUACUCUAAGUCCUGCCCCAUUCUCCCUGAAAGCUGUGUGCUCACCUUGUUUCUUCCAGCUUUCUGGUUCUUCCAGGGCUCUUAGUGUCAUGCUUUUAGACUUUGAUUUCAGUACUGAGUUCAGAGACCAGACGCUGAACUUCUAUUUUGCACUCUUCCUCCUCUUCCAACUGCUCUUUCAUCACCUCCAGGUAAUUCCUGGUAUUAGCCAGGCUUACCACAGCAGCAGUGCAGGACUUGAGAUAGAUGGAUAGUAAUGGCUGCAAUGUUCUCCUGUUGGAAGUAUGAAGGCACUGACCUCACUCCCCCAGGCUGCAGUGCUCCACUUGAGCAACUUAGUUCUGGACUAGCUAGAAACAUUUCAAAGUAUCUUCCUGGUCAGGAGCCAAGUGUUUGCUCUCCUUACCUGUUUUGUUGUUGGUUUUCUUUUCUUUUUUUUUUUUUGCUUUACUGCAGUGAAUUGAAUUGAGCUCAUAUAACUGAAAGCAGAACUUGGCUUGUCAUCAUUGCUGUUUUCUCUGAAACUGUUUCAAAAGAAUUACAACAGUAAACCCAUUUUGUGAUUGCUCUGAAUGCAGAGAAUUCUUGCCAGGCUUUUGAUAUGCAGGUGCAGUACUAGAAUUAUUCUUUGGAGAUAAGAAAAAUUUCCAGGACAGACAUGUCAGACGGAGACAUGGAAUGCUGAUACAUUUUGAGCCAGACAUAUGUGACCUAUGCAAAUGAACUGCAGUGCAAUCCACUGAACAGACAGCGGACUGAGAAUGAAUAGUUGCCCUGCAGCUAACUGAAAAACAUGGCUUCAAUGUGAGAAGUAACUGAAGCACACAUUGGCAGUGGGUGGCAGAAGGGCCCAAGGUUUCAAAAGCAAACUGCAUGGGACCGCUGAAGAAACAGUCCAUUGAAAACCCACCUCAUGUAAGUUUUAGGCAAAGGUGGUCUCCAGCCCUUUCAAGCAGAAUUUCAAGUUGCUGAGCUCAUCCUCCAGCACCACUUGGUACUACUCAGGGUAGCACUUCCAUUGCCAGGAUCCAGCUCAGUAGAACAGUCCAUCUUUGCUCUCAUCAUUUGGCCCAAGCACACCUCAGCACCCAGCAAGUUCCCUCAUUCCUACUGAAGAGAUGGGAAUCCAGUGUUCAUCCUGAGUACCCUGCUACACCUUCUGCUUCCGUUUCCAUUUGCAAGAAGUGUUUGCUGCUUCUGUGGAAUUUAUUAAAGAUUUCUUUAAUAAAACUACUGUUG
rnacentral:lncRNA from 1 species